GGCGCUGUGGGUGCGGGCGGAGGCCGCAGCGUGCGUCAGCGAGCUUCCCGGCGCCCUCGCCUCGCCGAGCCCGGGGCGACGUGCGGGCACCGCACGUGGGGUCUUGCGCCACGCCGGGCGCCCUUGGGAAGGGGCGAGCUUGUGCAACAGGAUCUCUCGCGUGCCCGAGGCCAGGGGAAGUGAUCCAGAGAAACGGGAAGCUCUCCGCAAGCAGGCCGAGAGGCGUGGGAGCGCGGUUGUCUCAAAUCACCCAGCGGAUGUUUAUGAAGAAUUCGCUGUGCAAGGCACAUGGCAGGGGCCUUGCUUUUCUGCAACGUUUAAACAUACGGCUUAAAAAAACUCAAGGCUACACGCAUAUUUUCCGGAUACGUCUUUCUUGGUCUGCGUUUUACAUUGCACCCCAAAAGGCAGCCUGGCCCACAACCGGAAGAUUAGCCCUGAGCUAACAUCUGCUGCGAAUUCUCCUCUUUUUGCUGAGGAAGACUGGCCCUGAGUUAACAUAUGUGCCCAUCUUCCUCUAUUUUAUAUGUGGGACACCUGCCACAGCAUGGCUUGACAAGCCGCGUGAAGGUCUGCACCCGGGAUCCGAACCAGCGAACUCUGGGCCACCGAAGCAGAUCCUGUAAACCCAACCACAGUGCCACUGGGCUGGCCCCAACAAAUUUUUUCUUAAAGUAUCUUUUUCACAUUGAAAAAUAUAUUUGGCUGUAGUUUCACCUAGAUUCAAGGAUAUUUAAAAGAUUUCUCAUAGCCUACUUCAGCUUAUCCUUCUGUCAAGAGCCAUUUCAUAGAUCUCAGAUCUCAGAAUUUUUAUUUUCAGUGAAGCUCAUGAUUUUUAAUCACUUAAGAGAUGAAACACGAUGUGGAGGGCUUUUUUGCACUUAUUUAACCCAACUAUUUCAAAAAGAUGAGAAGAAUCAAUUGUGAAAAAUACACAGAAAUUUCAAGAUAGGUUCCUUAUGCAUGCUCAGAAAAAUUACCAAUUUUAAAUUUGUAUGAAAUCAUUAAAAAGGAACUUUGGAAAAAAAUUAAACUGGGGGAAUUUGUUAUGGCAGUUAAAGGAAAUAUUAUGACACGAAGGCAAAGAGUUCUGAAGCUUGCUCUUUAUGAAUUUAUUUUCCACAUUUCCUGCUUCAAUAUAUAGCAGAUUGUUCUUUUUCCAAAAUAAAGCUAUUUAGAGGCCCUGCAGGAAAAUAAUGACUAACAGAAUUAGCAUUGCUCUUCUUCGAAUGUUGUUGAAGAUUUUUCUAAUACAAAUUAUGAGGACUAUCCUUCUAAGUUUGUCUGGAAAUUUCAACUUUACAUAUACUGGUAGAAUAUAUCCUUUGUUUAUUACAUUUUGUCUUUAAUCUAGACAUCAAGUUUCAAA
rnacentral:lncRNA from 1 species